AUCACUUCUUGGCCUUUUGGCUAAGAUCAAAUGUAGUAUUUGUUCUUAUCGGUUUAAUAUUUGAUACAUCCUCUGAGGACAAUAUAGUAAAUGGAUUUUGGAGCAGGGUUAUAGGAAUGUCCUUUGUCCAUUUCAAUGCAUGAACCUGGUAUUGCAGUACCUCCAGGAACAGCACACUCCCU